CCUACGGGCGGCAGCAGUGGGGAAUAUUGGACAAUGGGGGGAACCCUGAUCCAGCCAUGCCGCGUGUGUGAAGAAGGCCCUCGGGUUGUAAAGCACUUUCAGUGAGGAAGAACGCCUGGUGGUUAAUACCCAUCAGGAAAGACAUCACUCACAGAAGAAGCACCGGCUAACUCCGUGCCAGCAGCCGCGGUAAUACGGAGGGUGCGAGCGUUAAUCGGAAUUACUGGGCGUAAAGCGCGCGUAGGUGGCUUGAUAAGCCGGUUAUGAAAGCCCCGGGCUCAACCUGGGAACGGCAUCCGGAACUGUCAAGCUAGAAUGCAGGAGAGGAAGGUAGAAUUCCCGGUGUAGCGGUGAAAUGCGUAGAGAUCGGGAGGAAUACCAGUGGCGAAGGCGGCCUUCUGGACUGACACUGACACUGAGGUGCGAAAGCGUGGGUAGCAAACAGGAUUAGAUACCCGUGUAGUC
rnacentral:rRNA from 1 species